CAUACGGACAAACAUACACAUGUAAACACAAGCAAGUGUAAAUAUAUGUAUGAUCUCAUUUUACAUGUGUUAUAAAAAUUAAGGUUAAAAAUAUUAACAGUGAUAAUUUUUAGGCUUACAAACACGAUGUCUAAAUAUGUUUAUAUAUAUACUUAAUAUUCACACAUGUAUGUGUUUAUAUUAGUGUUACAUGUAAAUAGGUUUAUAUUUUUAAAUGCCAUCUCUAUUUUCCACCGUAUAAGUUAAAAUGUUUUUUUUUCUCCAAAAUGCAUCUUCUAAUUUACUUAACAUAAUUAAUAGCUUUUUAAGUAUAUCUUUAAAGAACAUAUUUAUAUAAAAUAAAAAAAAAAAAAAAAAAAAAAAAAAAAGUGUUAACACAGCGAUGUUAUAAUAUGUUAUCGGUGUGGUAGUUUUAUAUCUUGAUACCCCGAUGACCUACGCUUUGAAAAGCCACUUUAACAAUUCAUCUGUUCGAAUCAAUUAAAAUCAGUUUGAAAAAAAAUGUAUUUUUUUGUCAAAGGCUCCCGCUAUAAGUAAGUACUUUUUAUUUUCUUGUAUAGUAGUUAAGUCAGUUUCGAUAGAGGAUGGACAUAUAAAUUUGUGUAAUAACUGGAAACAUUUAAUUUUAUAACCUUUAUCAAUAACAUUGAUAACAUUUCCACUUUUUAUAUCAAAUAUUAAAAUGUGAUUACUAUUUGCAUUAUUAUCUGACGAAAUAUAUAUAUAAUUACCAUUUGUAUCUAUUUGGAUAUAUGGAAAAGACAAAGUAUUUAAUACACAACCGUAUAUUUUUUGAAUGAAUAUAUGAUAUGUUAAUGAAUAAACAAAUAAUGUUGAUGUAUCUGUACAUAUAACUAAUAUAUUUUUUUUUUUAUUAUAUUCUAUAUUUAAAAUAUUAUAUUUUUUUGUUGAUUCGAACAGUACUAGUUUAUUUUGUAUUUGACAUGUUUUACUGUUUAUAAAAAGUAUAUGAUUAGAAUUUAACAUACUAAUAACUAUCAUCUCAGUAUUAUUAUUAUUAUUAUUAUUAUUAUUAUUAUUAUUAUUAUUNNUAUUAUUAUUAUUAUUAUUAUUAUUAUUAUUAUUAUUAUUAUUUUUUAGCCAUAAUACACUUGUUGGUAUAUCAAAUAAUCCUAUAAUAUGUUUUUUUUCAUAAUUAAUCAAUUCUUUAUUAUUAAAAUCAUCACUAUGUUCAUUCUCAUUCAUUUUUUCAUAAAUAAUUAAAUUUUUGUCAUUUGCUAUGGAACAAAAUAAAGAAUAAUCUUCAUUAAAUAAACA
rnacentral:lncRNA from 1 species